GGUCAGAUAGCCAAGUGGUUAAGGCCACCUAGAAUUGUGUCUCAGCUAACACUGAGGUCCCUGGUUUGAAUCUGGGUCUGAUCA
rnacentral:tRNA from 1 species